CAGUAGCCACGGUAAUACGUAGGGUGCAAGCGUUAAUCGGAAUUACUGGGCGUAAAGCGUGCGCAGGCGGCUUUGCAAGACAGAUGUGAAAUCCCCGGGCUCAACCUGGGAACUGCAUUUGUGACUGCAUGGCUAGAGUACGGUAGAGGGGGAUGGAAUUCCGCGUGUAGCAGUGAAAUGCGUAGAUAUGCGGAGGAACACCGAUGGCGAAGGCAAUCCCCUGGACCUGUACUGACGCUCAUGCACGAAAGCGUGGGGAGCAAACAGGAUUAGAUACCCCAGUAGUCCCUGUCUCUUAUAC
rnacentral:rRNA from 1 species